rnacentral:lncRNA from 1 species
AUAGUACAAAUCAUAUAAAAUGCAGUUAACACUGUUUGAUAAUAUUUAUUAGUGUUGGGAAAAAAAAAAAAAAAAUUUACUCACUAUUUUACAUUUUAAAAUCAUUCACAUUUUGUAAUUUUUUUUUUAAAUAUAUAUAUAUAUAUAUAUAUCUAUAUAUUUAUUUAUUUAUUCAAACUUUUUUUUUGUUGUUGUUGUUUUUCUUUGUAAAUUAAAAUUUGCUUAAUUUUUUUUUUAAAUUGUUUUGUUGUAUAAAAUUAUUAAAUUCUAUUUAAAUAGUAAUUUUUUUUGUUAAACAUAUUUAUAAAUUAGUGUAUAACUUUUUUUUUUUUUUUAAAAACAACUCAUGUAAUUCAUGUGAAAUAGUAGAAUUUUUUUUUUUUUUUUUUUUUUUUUUCUAUAAAUUAAAAACUGUUAAGUGAGUUAAAUUGCUUUUUCAGUUUUAUUUGCUCCGUUAGUUCUGUUUGAUUUAUUUGUUCCGCUAGUUCUGUUUGUUUUAUUUGUUCGAUUUGUUCAAUUUGUUCGAUUUGUUCGAUUUGUUCGAUUUGUUCUAUUUGUUCUAUUUGUCUGUCUCAUUUGUCUUAUUUGUCCAAUUUUUGUUUUUUUUAUGAUUUCUUGUUUAUAUUGUAAUUUAAACUACUUAUUAACGUGGAUAGCACCCAUUUAAAAAAAAAUUUAACGUUAGUCAAAAACUAUGACAUUUAACAUAUAUAAUAUAUACGCAUAAAUACCUAGGUGUUAGAUUAUGCUUUUAAAUGUUAUAGUAAAAUUUUAUUAAUAUAAAACGUUUUUAAAAAUAUUGAAGCAAUACUUAUACAUACAUGUAUAUAGAUGUAUGUACAUACACGUAAACAUGUAUAAAUUCAACAACUGACGUCUACGACAGGCUAUUUUUCUUAAACGAUAUUAUAAAUUUUAUUAUUAUUUAUUUUAUUUUAUUUUAUUUUUUUUUUUUUUGUUUAUUUAUUGAUUUUAUUUAACUUUUUUAAUUAAGAAUGGUCAAAGAUAUAUUAUUAUCUUUAGCACAUAAUGCUAAAAUGCAAAUGAAAAUUGAAAUGGAAGAACUGUGCAGUAAUAUUACUUUUUUAGAACAUGAAUUAAAUUUAAGUAAAGAUAGAAAUUUUUUGGAUUUGGUUAAUAUGGAAAGUUAUAAAAAAGGAGGAAAAGGAGAAAAAGAAGAAAAAGGAGAAAAAGAAGAAAAAGGAGAAAAAGAAGAAAAAGGAGAAAAAGAAGAAAAAGAAGAAAAAGAAUAUACCAAAUUACAAGAAUUUUUAUUAAAAUAUAUAAAAUUUCUACUAGAUAAUAAGAAAAACGGAAUAAUUAGUUUGAAUGAUGAAACUAAAGGAGAUUUAAAUGCAUUAGAUUUAAUUCCGAAAAUAGAGAAGCCAAAAAAUUGUGCUCAUAUUUUAAAAAGUAUGUAUAAAAAUAGAGAUAAAGUAAACGAAGUAUUAAAAUUAGUUCAAAUGAUAAAUAUCAAAAACCUUAGUGAUUGUAAAUCGCAAAAAUUAUUUGUUGAUUUAAUCAAGCAAAUAAAAGAAAUUGAAAAUAUUAAACAGAUUGAUGAUACAAUUAGUAGUAAAUUAAUAAGAAGCAAUAGCAACAAUAAGUUUAAAAUAAAAAAAUUAAGACACAGAAAACAUAAAAAAGAUGAAAAAGAAUUUUUUUUAAACUAUUUAAGAAAUAACACGGAUAACAUGACCGAACAAGAAACAGAUGAUUCUUCAACAGCACCUUCAUCGACAUAUUCAUACUCAUCUUCAACAGUAAGUUACUAUACAAACAGAAAAAAUGAUAUUGCUUUGGAAAAUGUAGAUAUAUUAUCAAAGAAGAAGAAUCAUAGUAAUAGUAGAAAUAGUAUCAAUGCAAAUGAGAUACAAAAGAUGUUGAAGGAUGAAAAAAUUAAAGAAGAAAUAUUUUUAAAAAAGAUGGAAUACAAUACUUCAUAUUCAGAUAAUAAUUUCAACAAAAAAAGUAAUAAAAGCAAUAUUUGUAGUUCAUUAAAAUCGUUAGGUUUUACUGAAAAACAAAAAUUGCUUAACUAUUCACUAUUAAAUAGUAACAUAAAAAUGAAACCUAUCCAUAAAAGAAAUCAGCUUACUUCAGAGAUAAGAAAAUUAAGUGAAGCAAAACACAGGCUUAAUUUACCACUCUCAAAAUAUAACAAACAAAAUGAUUCUAAAAAAUUCAAAAUACUUAAGAAUGGUGAAAUAGAAAAUAAAAAAGUCAGUUUUAAAAGUGAAAAUUCUAAAAAAACAAACAGCGAUAAAAUAAGUCCGGGUGUGAGCAUUAUUGAAAAAAUGAACAACACAAUAUCUAAUACCAAUAGUCAAACUCCAUUUAAAUAUAUACCUGUUCUUACAAACAGUAGCAAGGCAAAUAGCUAUACAGCAAAAGUAGAAAAUAAUAAUAAUAAUAAUAGUAAAAAUAACAAUAAUAAUAACAAUAAUAAUAACAAUAAUAAUAACAAUAAUAAUAACAAUAAUAAUAACAUUAAUAAUAGCAAUAAUAAUAAUAGUAAAAAUAACAAUAAUAAUAACAUUAAUAAUAACAUUAAUAAUAACAAUAAUAAUAAUAGUAAAAAUAACAAUAAUAAUAACAUUAAUAAUAACAUUAAUAAUAACAAUAAUAAUAACAAUAAUAAUAACAAUAAUAAUAACAAUAAUAAUAGUAAAAAUAACAAUAAUAAUAACAUUAAUAAUAACAAUAAUAAUAACAAUAAUAAUAACAAUAAGAAAGUUAAAAAAAUAAGAAAGAAUAUACCAUCAAGCGCUUCUUCCAAUUCAUUUUUUUCCUCUUGUUCUUCGUCUGACUCAAAUAAAAGUAGCACUGAAAAUGAGUGUGACGAAAUAAUAGGAGGAAAAAAGUACACAUUUAAUAUUAAUAAAAAUGGAACAGGUUAUUUUGUGAUAAAUAAAAAAGGUACAAAAUCAGCCAAAAAAAAGAUUUAUGAUAUUGAGAUAAUAUAUGAUGACAAUGAUGAAGAGUCUGUCAAUGCUACUACUACUACUACUACUACCACUAAUAAUAAUAAUAAUGGCAGUGAAGAAGAAAAAAGGAAAAAAAAAAUUUUCCAUUUUUCCUUUUUAAAAAACGGUGUUAAGAUAUUUAAUGUAAAUACAUUAUAUAUGGAUAACGAUAACGCAUUUAAAAGUUUAACUAAUGGUAGUAGUACUACUAAUAGUGAUAGUAAUAGUGGUAGUAUUAAUAUAACCAAUAGUUCUAAUGUUAUAACAAGCGAUAAGAAUCGAUUCGAUAUAGAUAGGUUAUUCAAAACUAAUAAAGAUAGUAAUAAAAAGAACAUAAAAAAAAAAAGUAAUAAUAAAAAAGUAAAACUGUUAGGAAAAAAUUUAAUACAAUUAAAAAAAGAAAAUAAUAAAAGAAAAGAAGAAUUAAUUCAGAUUAUAGAUGACAUAGAAAACAAUAAUUAUUUAUUGAAUAAUAUAAAUGGGUUAAGAAAUCAC